rnacentral:lncRNA from 1 species
GGUUAGAAAUGCUGGAUCUCAAUCCCAACCCAACCUAAGGAACUGGAAUCUGCAUUUUAACAAGAUGCCCUGGUGAUUUGUGUGUACCGGAGCCAUGGAAGUCAAAUGCUGAGGAUGGUGGCAUCAUAGGAUGAAUGGAGCUGGGUUCUUGAAACACUGCCUGGAGGAAAGACAGCAAAAAUGCCUCAUGAAUCCAACUGGACUGUUAGGAUGCUCACCCUUGGAGACCAGCAACAAUGUGUGCAGAAACCCAGGCCAUGUGGAGAGGCCCCACAUACGUGUCCAACUGAGGUCCCAGCUGACAGCUGGCAUUGACAUAAUGUUCACUCUGGGGGAAGCCAGCUGCCACGCUGUAAGGACACUCGGGCAGUCCUAUGAAGAGGCCCGUGUGGUGAGAAAGAGAGGCCUCCAGCCAACAGCCAUGUGAGUGGGCCAUUGAGGAAGCAGCCUCAGUGCCUGCAGCCCUGACUGGCAUCCUGAACUACCACCUUAAAUGAGACCCUGAGCCAGAGUCACUACUUCCAAAUUCUUGACCCACAGAAAUUGUGAAAUAAUAUUUGUUGUUUUAAGCCGCCAAGUUUUGGGAGUAAUUUGUUAUAUAGCAAAAGAUAAUUAAUACAUUCACUUCCUAAGAUUAUGGUGAAGAAUUAAGGAUACAGCAUGAAAAGAACUUUGCUAUUAUUUUUAUUAUCUGAUCCAAUUUAUGUUGAAGGGCCUUCAGUACUUUCUUCUUUUACUCUAUCUUGACAUUUGUCUGAAACAUUUUUGUUUGUUUGUUUGUUUGUUUGUUUGUUUUUUAGAGAUGGGGUCUUGCUAUGUUUCCCAGUUGGAGUGCAGUGAUUAUUCACAGACAUGAUCCCACUACUGAUCAGCAUGGGAGUUUUCACCUGCU